GACCAGCGGAGGGAUCAUUACCGAGUUUACAACUCCCAAACCCCCUGUGAACUUAUACCAUUUACUGUUGCUUCGGCGGGUCACGGCCCCGGGGAUGGACAGCGGUCGCCGUCAGGCCUCAGCUGCCCGCCCCCGGAAACAGGCGCCCGCCGGGGAACUCAAACUCUUCUGUAUUUCUUUAUCUAAUAUAUACUGUCUGAGUAAAAACUAAAAUGAAUCAAAACUUUCAAUAACGGAUCUCUUGGUUCUGGCAUCGAUGAAGAACGCAGCGAAAUACGAUAAGUAAUGUGAAUUGCAGAAUUCAGUGAAUCAUCGAAUCUUUGAACGCACAUUGCGCCCGCCAGUAUUCUGGCGGGCAUGCCUGUUCGAGCGUCAUUUCAACCCUCAAGUCCCCUGUGGACUCGGUGUUGGGGACCGGCGAGACAGCCGCGGAUCUUCUUCCGCAGCGAGUCGCCGCCCCCCAAAUGACUUGGCGGCCUCGUCGCGGCCCUCCUCUGCGUAGUAUAGCACACCUCGCAACAGGAGCCCGGCGAAUGGCCACUGCCGUAAAACCCCCCAACUUUUUCAGAGUUGACCUCGAAUCAGGUAGGAAUACCCGCUGAACUUAA
rnacentral:misc_RNA from 1 species